AUACUUACCUGGCAGGGGUGAUACCAUGAUCAGAAAGGUGGUUUGCCCAGGGCGAGGCUCAGCCAUUGCACUUGGGCUGUGCUGACCUUUGCGAAUUCCCCAAAUGCGGGAAUCUCGACUGCAUAAUUUCUGGUAGUGGGGGACUGCGUGCGCGCUCUCCCCUG
rnacentral:snRNA from 1 species